rnacentral:rRNA from 1 species
UGGGGAAUAUUGCACAAUGGGCGCAAGCCUGAUGCAGCAACGCCGCGUGAGGGACGACGGCCUUCGGGUUGUAAACCUCUUUUAGUAGGGAAGAAGCGAAAGUGACGGUACCUGCAGAAAAAGCACCGGCUAACUACGUGCCAGCAGCCGCGGUAAUACGUAGGGUGCGAGCGUUGUCCGGAAUUAUUGGGCGUAAAGAGCUCGUAGGCGGUCUGUAGCGUCUGCUGUGAAAACCCGAGGCUCAACCUCGGGCCUGCAGUGGGUACGGGCAGACUAGAGUGCGGUAGGGGAGAAUGGAAUUCCUGGUGUAGCGGUGGAAUGCGCAGAUAUCAGGAGGAACACCGAUGGCGAAGGCAGUUCUCUGGGCCGUAACUGACGCUGAGGAGCGAAAGCGUGGGGAGCGAACAGGAUUAGAUACCCUGGUAGUCCACGCCGUAAACGUUGGGCGCUAGAUGUGGGGACCAUUCCACGGUUUCCGUGUCGCAGCUAACGCAUUAAGCGCCCCGCCUGGGGAGUACGGCCGCAAGGCUAAAACU